UGCAAAUGAUGUCUUAUCACGAUGGUCUACUGAUAAAACCAGUGAAGAAAUGCCUAUUGGCUUCUGUCUGAUGCAGACAA